rfam:Operophtera brumata OBRT01_Sc00799, whole genome shotgun sequence.
UGAAAGGCUUUUUUCAAAGCCACAUACACCGGGCAUCGUGAUCAA